rnacentral:rRNA from 1 species
UACAGAGGUGGCAAGCGUUGUUCGGAAUUACUGGGCGUAAAGGGCGCGUAGGCGGCCAUCUAAGUCAGACGUGAAAUCCCCCGGCUUAACCUGGGAACUGCGUCUGAUACUGGACGGCUUGAGUAUGGGAGAGGGAUGUAGAAUUCCAGGUGUAGCGGUGAAAUGCGUAGAUAUCUGGAGGAACACCGGUGGCGAAGGCGGCAUCCUGGACCGAGAUUGACGCUGAGGCACGAAAGCGUGGGGAUCAAACAGG